rnacentral:rRNA from 1 species
UGAAUACGAGACGCUACGGCGUCGAAGCAGUCUAUGUCAUACUUCCAAGAAAAGCUUGCUCUGUCAGAAACAAAUAAUGCCUGUACCAUAACCGACACAGGUGGGUAGGUAGAGUAUACUAAGGGGCGCGAGAUAACUCUCUCUAAGGAACUCGGCAAAAUGACUCCGUAACUUCGGGAGAAGGAGUGCCUUAUUUCUAAGGUUGCAAUAACAAGAUCCAAGCAACUGUUUAUCAAAAACACAGGUCUCCGCUAAGUCGCAAGACGAUGUAUGGGGGCUGACGCCUGCCCAGUGCCAGAAGGUUAAAGAAGUUGGUUAGCAUUAGCGAAGCUGAUAACUGAAGCCCUGGUGAACGGCGGCCGUAACAAUAACGGUCCUAAGGUAGCGAAAUUCCUUGUCGGGUAAGUUCCGACCCGCACGAAAGGCGUAAUGAUUUGGAUACUGUCUCGGAGAGGGACUCGGUGAAAUAGACUUGUCUGUGAAGAUGCGGACUACCUGCACCUGGACAGAAAGACCCUAUGAAGCUUUACUGUAACUUGAGAUUGAAAUUGGACUUUAUUUGCGCAGUAUAGGUGGGAGGCAUUGAAGAUAUUCUUGCGGGGAUAUUGGAGCCAUCAGUGAGAUACCACUCUUGUAAUGUUAGAUUUCUAACUUUGUAUCAUUAUCUGGUCAAAGAACAGCUUCAGGCGGGCAGUUUGACUGGGGCGGUCGCCUCCUAAAUGGUAACGGAGGCGCACAAAGGUUUCCUCUGAACGGGUAGAAAUCGUAUCUAGAGUGUAAAGGCAUAAGGAAGCUUGACUGUGAGACCUACAAGUCGAGCAGGGACGAAAGUCGGUCUUAGUGAUCUGACGGUGCUGAGUGGAAAGGCCGUCACUCAACGGAUAAAAGUUACUCUAAGGAUAACAGGCUGAUCUCCCCCAAGAGUUCACAUCGACGGGGAGGUUUGGCACCUCGAUGUCGGCUCAUCGCAUCCUGGGGCGGUAGUACGUCCCAAGGGUUGGGCUGUUCGCCCAUGAAAGCGGUACGCGAGCUGGGUUCAGAACGUCGUGAGACAGUUCGGUCCAUAUCCGGUGUAGGCGUUAGAAUAUUGAGAGGAGCCUUCUUUAGUACGAGAGGACCGAGAAGGACAUACCUCUGGUGUACCAGUUAUCGUGCCAACGGUAAACGCUGGGUAGCUAUGUAUGGAGUGGAUAACCGCUGAAAGCAUCUAAGUGGGAAGCCCACCUCAAGAUAAGUAUUCUCA